AGCAGCCGCGGUAAUUCCAGCUCCAAUAGCGUAUAUUAAAGUUGUUGCAGUUAAAAAGCUCGUAGUUGAAUUUCGGGAUCAAUAUGUCGGUCGUGCCUUCGGUACGUACUGGCAUCAUUGAUUUCUCCCUUCUGACGAACCAUGAUGUCAUUAAUUUGGUGUCAUGGGGAGUCAGGACUGUUACUUUGAAAAAUUAGAGUGUUUAAAGCAGGCUCACGCUUGAAUACAUUAGCAUGGAAUAAUGAAAUAGGACGUUUGAUCCUAUUUUGUUGGUUUCUAGGAUCGACGUAAUGAUUAAUAGGGAUAGUUGGGGCAUUAGUAUUCAAUUGUCAGAGGUGAAAUUCUUGGAUUUAUUGAAGACUAACUACUGCGAAAGCAUUUGCCAAGGAUAGUUUUCAUUAAUCAAGAACGAAAGUUAGGGGAUCGAAGACGAUCAGACGCCGUCGUAGU
rnacentral:rRNA from 1 species